rnacentral:rRNA from 1 species
UACGGAGGGGGCUAGCGUUGUUCGGAAUUACUGGGCGUAAAGCGCACGUAGGCGGCUUUGUAAGUUAGAGGUGAAAGCCCAGGGCUUAACCCUGGAAUUGCCUUUAAGACUGCAUCGCUAGAAUCGUGGAGAGGUGAGUGGAAUUCCGAGUGUAGAGGUGAAAUUCGUAGAUAUUCGCAAGAACACCAGUGGCGAAGGCAGCUCACUGGCCCGGUACUGACGCUGAGGUGCGAAAGCGUGGGGAGCAAACAGG